rnacentral:rRNA from 1 species
UGCGCAGGUGGGCUUGUAAGUCAGUGGUGAAAUACUGCCGCUUAACGGUAGAACUGCCAUUGAUACUGCAAGUCUUGAAUAUGGUUGAGGUAGGCGGAAUGUGUCGUGUAGCGGUGAAAUGCAUAGAUAUGACACAGAACGCCGAUUGCGAAGGCAGCUUACUAAGCCAUUAUUGACGCUGAGGCACGAAAGCGUGGGGAGCGAACAGGAUUAGAUACCCUGGUAGUC